UGCGUAGGCGGAUUAAUAAGUCAGUGGUGAAAACCUGCAGCUUAACUGUAGAAUUGCCAUUGAUACUGUUAGUCUUGAGUACGGUCAAGGUAGGCGGAAUGUGUAAUGUAGCGGUGAAAUGCUUAGAUAUUACACAGAACACCGAUUGCGAAGGCAGCUUACUGGGCCAUUACUGACGCUGAGGCACGAAAGCGUGGGGAGCGAACAGGAUUAGAUACCCUGGUAGUCCACGCCGUAAACGAUGAUCACUCGCUGUUGGCGAUACACAGUCAGCGGCUAAGCAAAAGCAUUAAGUGAUCCACCUGGGGAGUACGGCCGCAAGGCUGAA
rnacentral:rRNA from 1 species